rnacentral:rRNA from 1 species
AAGAGUCACCAACUACCUUUUUCAGAGUCUAGUCGUGUUGUGAAACAUCCUCUUGAGCUUGUGUUUUCUGAUGUAUGGGGUCAUGCCCAAACGUCUGUUAGUGGUCACAACUAUUAUGUCAGUUUCAUUGAUGCUUACAGUCGGUUUACUUGGCUAUAUCUUAUCAAGCGUAAAUCUGAUGUGUUUGAUGUUUUUGUUCAGUUCCAAGCACACGUUGAGCGUCUCCUUAAGCACAAAAUUAUUCAUGUUCAAUCCGACUGGGGGGGGGGGUUGAAUAUCACAACCUCAACUCGUUUUUUAACAAGCUUGGGAUCUCGCAUCGCGUAUCUUGUCCUCAUACACAUCAGCAAAACGGCACCGCUGAACGUAAGCAUCGUCAUCUUGUAG